ensembl:lncRNA
CUGUGUGUACAUCUAAUUGGGAGUGGAUCUGUGUGUACAUCUAAAUAUUAAUGUGUCUUUGUGCAGAACCUGAUGUUUGUGUGUUUUUGUGUACUUCUGAAUACUAAUGUGUCUGUGUGUACAUCUAAAUGUUAGUGUGUCUGUGUGUACAUCUAAUUGUUAUUGUGUCUUUGUGUACAUCUAAAUAUUAAUGUGUGUCUUUGUUUAGAACCAAAUGUUAGUGUGUCUGUGUGUACAUCUAAAUAUUAAUGUGUCUUUGUGUACAUCUAUAUGUUAAUGCGUGUCUUUGUUUAUAACCAAAUGUUAGUGUGUAUGUGUGUUACAUCUAAUUGUUAGUGUGUCUGUGUGUACAUCUAAAUGUUAGUGUGUCUGUGUGUACAUCUCACAAUAUGUGUGUCUCUGAGUAGAUCUGUGUGUGUGUGAGUGUGGGUGUGUGUGUGUGUCAUGCGUAGAUCUGGAUUUGCUCCUGAGGGGUUGACAUGACGUCCUGAUGGCGUCCUGAUGGCGUCCUGAUGGCGUCCCGUUGACGUGGCGUCCUGAUGGCGUCCUGUUGGUCUGCAGACAAGGAGAAGAGACGUGAGGAGGAUCAUCAGGAUGUGUCUAUCUGGAUUUGCUCCUGAGGGGUAGACGUGACGUCCUGAUGGCGUCCCGUUGACGUGGCGUCCUGAUGGCGUCCUGAGGGCGUCCUGAUGGCGUCCUGAUGGCAUCCUGAUGGCGUCCCGUUGACGUAGCGUCCCGAUGACGUGGCGUCCUGAUUGCGUCCUGUUGGUCUGCAGACAAGGAGAAGAGACGUGAGGAGGAUCAUCAGGAUGUGAGACAAGAUUCAUAGAUCCAAUUAUUUUAAUUUGAUGCACAUUUUAAUUAUUUCAUGUUUGUAUGGAUGUGUAAAUCUACAUUAUAUAUUUGUGGUUGUUAAACUGUAUUUCUGUAUUUGCUUUUCAUGUUUAGCUAGUCUCUGUGCAUACCAAUAUGUUAGUGCGUAUCUGUGUAAGUACUUUUUACAUUACAUUACAUUUCAUUUAGCUGACGCUUUUAUCCAAAGCGACUUACAAUAAGUGCAUUCAACCAUAGGGUACAAACUCAGAAGAACAAGAAAGUGCAAUUUCCUCAAAUAACUUGUAUAUGUUAGUGCGUCUCUGUGUAAGUACUUUUAUAUGUUAAUGCGUCUCUGUGUACAUCUACAUGACAACAGCAGGAAUCAGAGGUUUAUCUCAAGGUAUCAGCUCUAAAUCACAGCCUUCUCCACCCGAUAGACCAAUACAUCAUUCACAGCAGUAAGGCUGCAGUCUGUCUGGAUUCCUCACUUACCUUGAGCUCUGUUAAGUGCAGCAGAACGCGUCUUCGUCCCCUCUACAGACUCCUGAGGCAUUACAUGGUUGCUUUCUGCAAGUGUAGGUCCGGAAAACUUCAGUGUGUAGAUGCGAGGUUUGAAACUGACUGACUGGAUGUGCAACAGACUGUGUUUCUUAUGCUGUGGUGAACGGAGCAUAGAACAUGGAACAUUGAGAAAUGUUCCAUCAUGAUGUAACGUCUCUAUGGUUACAGUGAAGGUAUCUACAAUAUGCAAAUGAGCCUUUAGAGUAAAUGUGUGUGUGUGGACGGUGUAUUUGUAUUGAUGGAGCUCAUCCACUUAACAUGGUGCAUAAAACACUUUGCUCUACUUGUUUUUUUCUAUGACCCCAUCUUGAUCUUGAAAGCAAACACUUUAAGAAAACAUAAAGAACGAUUUUUGUCCAUUGUUUCAUCAAGUCAGAAAUUUGUAAACUGUUGAAUCUGGAUUUAUAAACAUCCCUUUCGAGCCCUCUUGUCUCCAGUCUUCAUGCUAAGCUAACCAGCGGCUGGCUUUAGCUUCACGUUGAGCGCGCAGACAUGAGAGUAGGGAUGAGUAUCGUUUGGGUUUUUCCGAUACCGAUCCUAAACAGAGCCUGAACCCAAACACAAUUGAAGAAAAAAAAAAGUCACUUCAAACUAUGCACAAUAUAUGAACUUUUGAAAGUUUACAGUAUGAUUACAGUGUUUCCCCUCUGUAACAGCGGAAGUGUAGUUAAUUGGAAUUUGGGGAAUAUUAAUCAUUUAAUUUGAGAUUCAUGUUCAUUGUGCAGGAACUAAAGACAUUUAUUGAAAAGCAUUUACGUUAGAUUGACGCUCCUCGUUUGUCUCAAAGUAUUGACGUGCAACACAGAAGAGCUGCAUGAGGCACGAGAGCACAUCGCUUUUCUAUUGUGUAGAAAAAUAAAUACGAAUAGAAGGUAGAUGGCUAGCUAGCUGCUGUAGCUACACAAGCGGUGAGCUAUCGUUAGCUGCUGCGAGGACAGAGUUAUCAGACUGUUUAAUUAGGGUGACCAAACGUCCUCUUUUCCCCGGACAUGUCCUCUUUUUGAGACCUAAAAAAUGCGUCCGGCAGAGAUUCCAAAAACGUCCGGGAUUUUGUCUUCGUCGUAUAUUUGUGUUUCUCUGGGUCUUUCACAAACUAGUUAUUACGCCCUUACAAGUUUUGGAAAUGGUGUCUCCCUUACGUUCCACCUUCUUUCGCGAGCUCUGACUGUAGAGAGAACAGUCAUUGGUCGACCGAUCUCAAUGUUGCCAGAUACACGAUAAUGAUCCUCCAAAUACGACCAUUUUGAGCCUUUGGUACGAUACUUCACCAUUUCCAAUCUGGCAACACUGAGCACUUUGCCGCCUCCACUAGUUGCAUUGUUUACAGCACAUCUGCAGCCAUGCCGAAACGUAAAUGUAAGUUUACGGACGAACUAAAAGAAAAUACCCAUGUUUUCGCCUCGGCCGUGAUGCUUCGGAAGCUUUUCUUAUUUUAAUAUGUGGCUAUAUAAAGUAUUUACUAUUUAUUAUUUGUUUAUUUGUUAUCAUUAUUGCUUCAAUAUAUGGACAAGACACAUUAAAGAAGCGCUGGACUAAAUCCCACAAAAAAGAUUUGUUUUACAUUUGCACUUUUCAGUUUUGUUAAAGUUCAAUAAAUAGAUGUUCAUAUAGUCA